rnacentral:lncRNA from 1 species
CCCCCUCGGCCACGCCCCCUCGGCCCGGCGGCGUCACGCUCCCUCCGGCUGUCACGUGACCGCGUUGCCCGGCAGCGCCGUAGCCAUGGCAACGGCCGUACACAGGCGGCGGGCGCGGGCCGCGGUCGGUGGCGCAGGCGGGAAGGGGGACGGGUUGCUUUGCAAUUCUCAGCUGAAAUAAAGAUGGCUUCAAGAGAGAGAGAUUCACACGCACAGAGGACUGUUCCCAAACCAAAAGCAUCCCUCCGUUUAACACAGCCCGAGAGAGGGCCAGGUAUCUGCUAUUUGCUGAGCCCAUGCUGAGAAUAUGAAAACCAUGCUGGCCUCCCACGUCUUCGUGAUGGAUAACAGUUUACUUCAGAGAAGCCAAGCCAAGCGUAGACAAAGAGAAAAGAGGGAGGCCAGGAUCUUGAGGCUGCUCCGAGCUACAGAAGCCCACAGUCACCUCGGAAGCUGCGACUCUGCUGUCAGGAGGCAGGGGCGAAGGAAAUAAAUCAUCUGAUAUCCUGCCAGCAAACUGCCAGAGGCGCUUUGAGACUGGAGGAGUUUCUCCUGCCCCAAAAGAGCAUUAAAAAAAAAAAAAAAAAAAAAAGUCGGCUGAUAACUUGGACAGGGUUCAGGUAUGUUUGUGCACAUACCAGCAGUUAAACUGAUUUCUUCUACUAUCUUAUCUGUCCAUUUCUGGUUUUAAAG